UAGAACGGGGCUAAUGUUUAAUAUAUGUGAUUGAAUGUGCUAAACCAUUAGCGUGUUCGACAAUUUUGUUUUGGAGUCUUUUGGAGCUUUGACCAAUUUAAGAUAAUGAUUACCUUGAGCAUUUAGAAACAUGUUAUUAUCAGAUGAUGCGUGUAUAUAUAUAUAUAUAUAAUUGGCCUCGAGUUUUCAAUAAAUAUUUGACCCCAAAAUUAGAAAUCAAUUUAAAUGGCUUGGAUCGAUGAACAUAUGUUUCUAAAUAAAAAUCCAAAUAUUUAUCAAAUUAGCUUAUUAGCAUAUUGAUGCAUAGUUACAUAUAUAUAUAUAUGACACACCCCGUCCCGAAGGAGGGCAUGCUGGCCGUCACGUGAGAGUGACGUAACCAUUUGCACAGUACGGAAGCUUUAAGAUACAAUUUAUAAGUUGAUACACCCGAAGGUGAGUCCUAAUUUUGUCCAAUCUGUCAGAACACCGUCGAAUUCCUCGUAGUCACCACACCUUUGUGAUUCCUGAACCUGGAGGGGCGCAAAACCAAAAUUGAGUGGGUCAGUAAAACAAUUCUUUUCCAAAUCCAAACAUUUCUCAAAACGUUGUAACCCCUCUCCGUAAAACCUGUAUACUUUCCCAGAAAUAUAAAAUAUAAAUAUACAUAUAUAUAUUCUCAAUACUUCAAUUCAUUAACUCAACAUUUUCUCAUAUUAAUUAUGCCAUGCCACAUCAUCUCAACAUUUCUCAUAUUAAUUAUGCCAUGCCACAUCAUCUCAACAGUAAUAAGGUAUGAAUGCAUCAACAUAAAUCAUAUCAGGUGCAAUAAAGUAAUCAACCGGAGGCCCUCUAAUAGCCCUGUACGGUUGAACCUAGAGCUCAAAAUCUAUCAAUCUCACACUCUGCCGGAGUCACUCCACGUGACCUGUACGGCCUUCUGCACAUAAGUUACGCUCUAGUGCUUCUCAUAAAUCAUCUGUGCACAUAAUCUAAGGUCACCCACCAGUCGGAAUCUCACUAACACUCUCGCGACUGGCCUGUCGUACCCACUCCACGUGGACUGUACGACUAGCAUCUACUUGGAUCCAAGACGAGCGUGCGAUGCGGUGAAUACUAUAAGCACUAAACUAUGGUGCAGGAUUUGAGCCCAAUAUACAUCAACAUCAUCAUAACAGAAAUAAAUACUCACAUGUGCGUCCACCGCACCAUUUCAUACAUAUGCAUCAUAAAUCAAUUCUUACCUGUGCGUCCACCGCACCAAUUCAUACAUAUGCAUCAUAAAUCAAUUCUUACCUGUGCGUCCACCGCACCAAUUCAUACAUAUGCAUCAUAAAUCAAUUCUUACCUGUGCGUCCACCGCACCAAUUCAUACAUAUGCAUCAUAUAUUAAUUCAUGCAUGGCAUUUCAACUCACAUUUCUAUAUACUUUUCAUAUCAAUUCUAUGCAUGGUAUUUCACUUCCCGUUUUUCCACAUAACUCAUAUGCAUUUCAUUUUAAACAUAUUUUCAUUUCAAUUCAAUUUCUGGGAAACGUCAAGUAUAUAUAUAUACGGAAAACAAAACUGCCCACUCACCUGGAGUUCGUCCAACAACUCCCUAGCACCACACAUCAAGGCGUCACGACGAUCGCCGCCUAGAAUAGUAAUCAAAUCCAACCUCAGAAUUCAUAUCGAUAGAAUAUAUAACUUUAUAUAAAAUACGUCACUACGUAGUUCGAUCCGGAAGAUCUGCCACUCAGAUUUUAAAUCCAUAACUUCCAGAGGUCCACAAUAUAUCUCUAGGACAACAUCCUAAAAUUUCAUCACCAUCCAACGGUCGGAUCGUCAAUUCACAUUUUUACCUAAAUGUGAAAACUAUAAAACGUUAUUCGAACACCUAACCAACAAUCCUUAAUAACUUUCUCUCAUACGGUGCUCAAUUUGGGUAUAUGAAUAUACCACGGUGAUCUACUCGACGUCACGGACGUCGUCGACAUAUUUUUUAAAAUAAUUUUUUUUACUGUAGCACGCGCCCCCACGCGCCAAGGAAGGCACGGACCUACGCGCCCCCACGCGCACCUUCUUCUUCCUUGGGUCGCCGGACUGGUUUUUUUCCGGCGGCCGUUUUUUCAAAUUGCCAUAACUUUGUCAUUUCUCAACGAAAUCAAGUGAUUCAAAAACGAAAGUUGUAGCCCUUGAAGAGACAAAGAGAAUGAUACCUUGCACAACACCUAGUUCUCCGUGGUUUGGCCGGAAACUGCCUCGAAAGCCUCGGAGGUCGCCGGAAACUGGGUAUUUUUCAAAUGAGUAUAACUUCUUCAAUACUCAACGAAAUUGAGUGAAACAAAAAGGAAAGUUGUAGUACUUGACGAGACGAAGAGAUUAAUACCUACCUCGACUCCUAACUCGCCGGGGAUUCGCCGGAAAGAGCCUCGAAAGCUCCGGCCAAACUUUGAACUUGUCGAUCUCCGUGUUCUUACGUCCAAAAACUUCCAACGAAGCACUCCGAGCUUCCUUGGGACCUCACUAAGCUCACUAUGAGCUUGGAUUGUC
rnacentral:lncRNA from 1 species